AUGAAAGGAAAACUGGCAUUUAAAGCCCAAGAAUUGCUUGCCCCCAAGUUUUGGAGGGGGACCGAAGACUCGUCACCCACCUGCGGGUGCAUGAAGGGUGCUGGCUUUCCAUCUCUGUUCCCUUGGUCUUGUGAAGGGUUGGAAGAGAGUUUUGCCACCCAUCACCCGGAACAAGAGGAUGGUUUGGAAAUGGCUGGGCGCUGUGCUGCUGCUCCCCGUGCAGAUGCUUUACCUGGUGCUGAAAGCCGCCGUUUGUGCUCUGCUGCCACCCAAACUACGGGACCUGUCUGGGGACACCGUGCUGGUGACAGGUGGGGGACGUGGCAUCGGCCGCCAACUGGCCCGGGAAUUUGCCAGGCGAGGAGCCAGGAAGGAGAGCAGAAGACUCAAAGGGUUUGCAUGCCUGAGUGCUGGAUGAGGUAA
ensembl:lncRNA